CUUACCUACGGGGGGCAGCAGUGGGGAAUAUUGGGCAAUGGGCGCAAGCCUGACCCAGCAACGCCGCGUGAAGGAAGAAGGCUUUCGGGUUGUAAACUUCUUUUAUCAGGGACGAAGCAAGUGACGGUACCUGAUGAAUAAGCCACGGCUAACUACGUGCCAGCAGCCGCGGUAAUACGUAGGUGGCAAGCGUUAUCCGGAUUUACUGGGUGUAAAGGGCGUGUAGGCGGGAGUGCAAGUCAGAUGUGAAAACUAUG
rnacentral:rRNA from 1 species